rnacentral:misc_RNA from 1 species
GUAUCAUUCCCAUCCUGGGGAGUCCACAGCACCUCUACAGCCAGAAGGUUGGUUGAACCAAUAUUCAAAGAUCUCAAGGCAUCUUUCAUGUCAUGAAUGCUUGUAAUGGCAGGAACCCUGUAUGAACCUUUAGCAGCUACCAGGACUGUCACCACAAUGUAUUCUUUGCCAAGUUUGCUAGCUUUAGGAGUAACUGCUCUUUGCAUCUUGACAUUGUUGACAUUAACCAGAGACUCCAUGUCCAUUUUCCCUCUUUCUUCUCUUGA